CCCUUAGAUGUUCUGGGCCGCACGCGCGCUACACUGAUGCAUUCAACGAGUCUAAAACCUGCUCUGAUAGGGGUGGGUAAUCUUUUGAAUGUGCAUCGUGAUUGGGAUAGAUGAUUGCAAUUUUUCUUCUUCAACGAGGAAUGCCUAGUAAACGCAAGUCAUCAGCUUGCAUUGAUUACGUCCCUGCCCUUUGUACACACCGCCCGUCGCUCCUACCGAUUGAAUGAUCCGAUGAAUAUCAUGGAUUGAGGAUGCAAGUAGGUUCGCCUAUCUUCAUCUUCGAGAAGUGAAGUAAAUCUUAUCAUUUAGAGGAAGGAGAAGUCGUAACA
rnacentral:rRNA from 1 species